rnacentral:rRNA from 1 species
CCUACGGGGUGCAGCAGUGGGGCAUAUUGGACAAUGGGGGGAACCCUGAUCCAGCGACGCCGCGUGAGUGACGAAGUAUUUCGGUCUGUAAAGCUCUAUCAGCAGGGACGAAAGACAUGACGGUACCUGACUACGACGCCCCGGCUCACUCCGUGCCAGCAGCCGCGGUAAUACGUAGGGGGCAAGCGUUAUCCGGCUUUACUGUGGGGACAGGGGUCGUAGACGGCGAUGCAAGUCUGAAGUGAAAGGCGGGGGCACAACCCCCGGACUGCUUUGGAAACUGUAUGGCGGGAGUGCAGGAGAGGGAAGUGGAAGGCCUAGGGGAGCGGUGAAAUGCGGAGAUAUUAGGAGGAA